rnacentral:misc_RNA from 1 species
AUGGCUACGAUGGAUAUAAUUAAGCUGCAUGGGGGAACUCCUGCCAAUUUCCUGGAUGUAGGUGGAAAUGCUUCUGAAGGCCAGGUAGUUGAGGCAUUUAAGAUAUUGACUUCUGACGAGAAAGUUAAAGCAAUUUUGGUGAACAUUUUUGGUGGAAUAAUGAAAUGCGAUGUCAUAGCUAGUGGAAUUGUCAACGCUGCCAAACAGGUUGCUCUCAAAGUGCCCGUGGUUGUUCGGCUUGAAGGUACAAAUGUUGACCAAGGAAAAAGAAUUCUGAAGGAAAGUGGCAUGACAUUGAUAACGGCAGAAGAUCUGGAUGAUGCUGCAGAGAAAGCAG